rnacentral:rRNA from 1 species
AGAGUUUGAUCCUGGCUCAGAUUGAACGCUGGCGGCAGGCCUAACACAUGCAAGUCGAACGGUAACAGGAAGCAGCUUGCUGCUUCGCUGACGAGUGGCGGACGGGUGAGUAAUGUCUGGGAAACUGCCUGAUGGAGGGGGAUAACUACUGGAAACGGUAGCUAAUACCGCAUAACGUCGCAAGACCAAAGAGGGGGACCUUCGGGCCUCUUGCCAUCAGAUGUGCCCAGAUGGGAUUAGCUUGUUGGUGGGGUAACGGCUCACCAAGGCGACGAUCCCUAGCUGGUCUGAGAGGAUGACCAGCCACACUGGAACUGAGACACGGUCCAGACUCCUACGGGAGGCAGCAGUGGGGAAUAUUGCACAAUGGGCGCAAGCCUGAUGCAGCCAUGCCGCGUGUAUGAAGAAGGCCUUCGGGUUGUAAAGUACUUUCAGCGGGGAGGAAGGUGUUGUGGUUAAUAACCGCAGCAAUUGACGUUACCCGCAGAAGAAGCACCGGCUAACUCCGUGCCAGCAGCCGCGGUAAUACGGAGGGUGCAAGCGUUAAUCGGAAUUACUGGGCGUAAAGCGCACGCAGGCGGUCUGUUAAGUCAGAUGUGAAAUCCCCGGGCUCAACCUGGGAACUGCAUCUGAUACUGGCAGGCUUGAGUCUCGUAGAGGGGGGUAGAAUUCCAGGUGUAGCGGUGAAAUGCGUAGAGAUCUGGAGGAAUACCGGUGGCGAAGGCGGCCCCCUGGACGAAGACUGACGCUCAGGUGCGAAAGCGUGGGGAGCAAACAGGAUUAGAUACCCUGGUAGUCCACGCCGUAAACGAUGUCGACUUGGAGGUUGUGCCCUUGAGGCGUGGCUUCCGGAGCUAACGCGUUAAGUCGACCGCCUGGGGAGUACGGCCGCAAGGUUAAAACUCAAAUGAAUUGACGGGGGCCCGCACAAGCGGUGGAGCAUGUGGUUUAAUUCGAUGCAACGCGAAGAACCUUACCUGGUCUUGACAUCCACGGAAGUUGUCAGAGAUGACAUGGUGCCUUCGGGAACCGUGAGACAGGUGCUGCAUGGCUGUCGUCAGCUCGUGUUGUGAAAUGUUGGGUUAAGUCCCGCAACGAGCGCAACCCUUAUCCUUUGUUGCCAGCGGUCCGGCCGGGAACUCAAAGGAGACUGCCAGUGAUAAACUGGAGGAAGGUGGGGAUGACGUCAAGUCAUCAUGGCCCUUACGACCAGGGCUACACACGUGCUACAAUGGCAUAUACAAAGAGAAGCGACCUCGCGAGAGCAAGCGGACCUCAUAAAGUAUGUCGUAGUCCGGAUUGGAGUCUGCAACUCGACUCCAUGAAGUCGGAAUCGCUAGUAAUCGUGGAUCAGAAUGCCACGGUGAAUACGUUCCCGGGCCUUGUACACACCGCCCGUCACACCAUGGGAGUGGGUUGCAAAAGAAGUAGGUAGCUUAACCUUCGGGAGGGCGCUUACCACUUUGUGAUUCAUGACUGGGGUGAAGUCGUAACAAGGUAACCGUAGGGGAACCUGCGGCUGGU